UAUUGACACAGAAAUAAUUCAUUGAAUUUGUAAUUCAAAUGGACACAGAGAGGCACUUUAAUUUUAGGAGUGUGAGUGGGGGUGUGGCAAUUUAAGUAAAUAAAAUGUAAUUUAGAACAAAGAACAAUGUAUCUUAUUUACACAGACUCUCAACACACUUAGGGUACUGUAGUUUAAAGACCCAUUACUGGGAGUAUUAUUUCUGUGGAGCUCUGUGACACACACAGACACAGCAACAGUAUGGAGCUUGUAGAAAAGAAGGAGAAUAGGAGAGAAAAGAUAGACAG